AAAACUACUCUCGGCAACGGAUAUCUCGGCUCUCGCAUCGAUGAAGAACGUAGCGAAAUGCGAUACUUGGUGUGAAUUGCAGAAUCCCGUGAACCAUCGAGUCUUUGAACGCAAGUUGCGCCCAAAACCUUCGGGUCGAGGGCACGUCUGCCUGGGUGUCACGC
rnacentral:rRNA from 1 species